AUUUCCAAGCACAUAUCUGAGUUGUAUGUGUGGACAGCACUGAGACUGAGUCUUUCCACAGCUAGGACUGAGUGUCUCCACGUCCUUUCUGAAGCCUACGAAGCUCAUUUAUGUGCUCUGAGAUACAUCUAUUCAAGCACAUACCAAGGAAAUGCUCACUGUGCAUUUGGAAGUAGGUGUUGGACAGUUGGACUGCAGAUGUUAGGUGUCUGUGUCUCUCCACAACAUAGGCAUCAACCCCAGUCUGCCUUACGUUGGCCAUGAGCAUUGGUAGAGUCAGCCUGACUUGGCGGAAGCACGUCUCCAAAGACAACAGGCCCUCCCUCUGCCCUCCCAUCUGUGAGCUCCCUGCCCAGCACCACCUCCUGCACUGCACUUCUGCCAUCCACAUCCCAGCACACUGGCGACCUGACCAGCAGCCCUCUCUCUCAGCUUAGCAGUUCGCUCUCCAGCCACCAGAGCAGCCUCUCUGCGCAUGCAGCCCUCUCCUCGAGCACGUCACACACAGGGUACCUUGUCAAACAGGCAUAAGUGGCAGGCCAUGCCCUUUUAGGUGGGCACUGGUGAGGCAUUGGUGGACUGAAAGGUGUCACCAGGUUUUGGAGCAAAGGCCUCUCUCAGCCUCCUGUUGUUUCCAGACCACAGUGGCUGAGAAUCCCAAUAGAAGGGAAAUCUCCAAAAGAUUGAGACUUGCGCUGGGCUUCCUGUGGCCUGUGCUCGCCUCUUCUCAGACUGUUUGCUUUGCUCUGAGCAUGCCAGUGUGGAGAGCGCCUCUUCCCACCAGUCCUCAGCCACCUUCUCCACGGCAGCGACCUCCGUCUCAAGUUCCGCAUCCUCAGGCGUCAGCCUGUCCAGUAGCAUGAACACCGCGAACAGCCUCUGUCUGGGUGGGACCCCCGCGAGUGCAUCCAGCAGCAGUAGCAGGGCCGCGCCCUUGGUGACCUCAGGCAAAGCACCCCCAAACUUACCUCAGGGGGUGCCUCCCCUGCUGCACAACCAGUACCUCGUAGGUCCCGGAGGACUGCUUCCUGCCUACCCGAUCUAUGGCUAUGACGAGCUCCAGAUGCUGCAGUCACGGCUGCCAGUGGACUACUAUGGAAUUCCCUUUGCUGCACCCACAGCGCUUGCCAGCCGAGAUGGGAGCCUAGCUAAUAAUCCAUAUCCAGGUGAUGUCACAAAGUUUGGCCGUGGGGACUCUGCAUCCCCUGUACCCGCUACCACACCAGCUCAGCCACAGCAGAGCCAAUCACAGACCCACCACACAGCCCAGCAGCCCUUCCUGAACCCUGCACUGCCACCUGGCUAUAGCUACACUGGUCUUCCCUACUACACAGGCAUGCCC
rnacentral:sRNA from 1 species